rnacentral:rRNA from 1 species
UGGGGAAUAUUGCACAAUGGGCGCAAGCCUGAUGCAGCCAUGCCGCGUGUGUGAAGAAGGCCUUCGGGUUGUAAAGCACUUUCAGCGGGGAGGAAGGCGGUGAGGUUAAUAACCUCAUCGAUUGACGUUACCCGCAGAAGAAGCACCGGCUAACUCCGUGCCAGCAGCCGCGGUAAUACGGAGGGUGCAAGCGUUAAUCGGAAUUACUGGGCGUAAAGCGCACGCAGGCGGUCUGUCAAGUCGGAUGUGAAAUCCCCGGGCUCAACCUGGGAACUGCAUUCGAAACUGGCAGGCUAGAGUCUUGUAGAGGGGGGUAGAAUUCCAGGUGUAGCGGUGAAAUGCGUAGAGAUCUGGAGGAAUACCGGUGGCGAAGGCGGCCCCCUGGACAAAGACUGACGAUCAGGUGCGAAAGCGUAGGGAGCAAACAGG